rnacentral:rRNA from 1 species
AUUGAACGCUGGCGGCAGGCUUAACACAUGCAAGUCGAGCGGGGUGAUGGUGCUUGCACUAUCACUUAGCGGCGGACGGGUGAGUAAUGCUUAGGAAUCUGCCUAUUAGUGGGGGACAACAUCUCGAAAGGGAUGCUAAUACCGCAUACGUCCUACGAGAGAAAGCAGGGGAUCUUUAUGACCUUGCGCUAAUAGAUGAGCCUAAGUCGGAUUAGCUAGUUGGUGGGGUAAAGGCCUACCAAGGCGACGAUCUGUAGCGGGUCUGGGAGGAUGAUCCGCCACACUGGGACUGAGACACGGCCCAGACUCCUACGGGAGGCAGCAGUGGGGAAUAUUGGACAAUGGGGGGAACCCUGAUCCAGCCAUGCCGCGUGUGUGAGGAAGGCCUUAUGGUUGUAAAGCACUUUAAGCGAGGAGGAGGCUCUUUUGGUUAAUACCCAGAAUGAGUGGACGUUACUCGCAGAGUAAGCACCGGCUAACUCUGUGCCAGCCGCCGCAGUAA